CGAAAAUAAUUUUAUGGUUGGGGGGUCACCACAACAUGAGGAACUGUAUUAAAGGGUCGCGGCAUUAGGAAGGUUGAGAACCCCUGGUCUACAGGGAAGCCUCAAACCCACUGACUGGACUUGUUUUUUGCUUUCAUGAAUGCCCUAAUUUAGAAGAAUACAUUUAUGUACAUUUUUUUCCAUCUUAGUUUUUGGUGUUAUUUUAGUUGCAACUAUGUAGUGUGCCUUAUUAACCUCAUUCUCUCGUUGUAUUCAUAGCACAAUCAAGAGCCUAAACUUUGGAGUAUCCCUUUCAUUUCUCUUCAAGUGAGGUUCUGAUUGAACAGGUCACACUGUCUUGUGAACAGUAGUGCAUUCCUUUUUGGGAAAAGGACACCCAAACAAGGAGCUACAUUAGAGAACUCUAAGCGGUUCUUUGCCAUUUCCCGUUCACACACUUGGAGAAUAACUAGGAGUAAGAGUUCAGGCCCUCUCUGUGGGUCCAUUAACCACCUCCAAGCAGCUGUGGACUCUGCAUUUCAGAGAGACUUUGGUUGGUGACCAGCCACAUCAGUCUCUUGAGGGAGCCAGAGGUUCCUUCCAGGGAGGAGUCAUGAGCUAAGUGGCAGUGAGAAUCCCUGGAGUGCUGUACCGCCAGACCGUUCCAGGAGAGAGGAAACGCUCCCCGACUGUGGCCAGAUCCUCCCGCCGUCCCUGUAAGUCCUCUGUGGAAGGAGAGACCCUGGCAGUGUGCUGUGGAACCGCUGAGACAUGGGACACAGAUUGGCCAGAAUGGACUCCCUUCCAGAUCAGCCUCUGAACAGAUCCUUGUCUGAAGUUAUUCACUCACAUAGAAGACCAAAAGGGACAUGGUUAUCCUGACUUCCCACUGCAGUGUGCCAGGAAACUGGAAGAAGGCGGUGGCGUGCAGGACAUCCGCGGCAUGGGUGGAGUUGUGGUAAGCAUUGGAGGAGUGGUAGUUGGCUUCAAUCACUUGGAGCCAAGCCCGAAGAGUCGUUUCAGAACAGCGUAAAAAUUCACACACUCCAAACCGGGAAAAGACCUUUAAGCCCAGGUGUGAGGCAUUCACAUCCACACCCCUGGAAGAAAUAGCCUCCUACUAUAGAAGAGGACUUUCUGAGUCCCUAGGAUGAAUAAAAAGAACUCUCCAGUACACUCAAACUCAUUUUGUAAGAUGGGGCUUCAAAUCGGGGGCUGAGAAUGCUUGGAGCUCUUGCCUCAUUAGCACAAAGAAAUGACCUGUGUACAUGUGAAAAGGACUCAGCAUUUCCUCAUCCGGGGUCAUCACCAGGCUGAUCCCACACCUCACCCACUAAUACUCCCUCCAUAAAGGAGCUCGCUCAGGGGCCAUCGUCUCUGCUCUGCGAUACUCCUCCAGGACAGCACGAAAGGAACAGACUGCAAGGGCUGUGUCUCCCUCAAAGUUUCCAAUGUGGAGUCUUGAGCUUGGCCAUUAGUCCUCUCUGCCAGCAGCCAGAGAAGCUACAUACCUUUUA